CUUGUGCCAGCCGCCGCGGUAAUACAGAGGGUGCAAGCGUUAAUCGGAAUUACUGGGCGUAAAGCGCGCGUAGGUGGUUCGUUAAGUUGGAUGUGAAAUCCCCGGGCUCAACCUGGGAACUGCAUUCAAAACUGACGAGCUAGAGUAUGGUAGAGGGUGGUGGAAUUUCCUGUGUAGCGGUGAAAUGCGUAGAUAUAGGAAGGAACACCAGUGGCGAAGGCGACCACCUGGACUGAUACUGACACUGAGGUGCGAAAGCGU
rnacentral:rRNA from 1 species